GAAAAAAAAGGAGUCCUCCAGCGUAAAGAAGAAGCCCCCAGUUAAACAUUCCCCUGAAACGUGAGGAGUGCUGAUAUUCAGCUGCGAGGGACACGCCAUGGAAACUGCGAUAAACCGCAUCCAAUAAAGCAGGGAGGUAAAUGGAGUUUGCACUUCGGUUUUAAUUGCAUCUGCACCGGGGAACAGGACAUCCUAUGGCAGAGGCUUCGCUCCCGUUUGAGUCAAUUGGGGUCCCCCAUCUUCCAGAACACUUUCAGCAGGUUGCUUUUAGGCGAAUGCACGGGCGAACUGUCAGCAUGUUUUAUCGUAAGGACGUGGACACACCCUUUCGCGCUGCGGUGGAGCCUCGCCCAUACGGUUGAAAAUUAAUUCCCCGAUGUCUUCCUGUACAUAAGCACAUUUGACACAUUUCCAAUUACAGAGUUAUCUAAUUGAUGUGAAUGGUUUGAUGCAUUGUUUGUUCACGUAAACCAUUGUGCCGGAUAGAAUUAAUAUGCAUUCAAGUAAUAAUAUGUUGAACAUUAUCUUAUAUUGUAGCUAUAACUUGUUACUUAUAAAAGAUUUAUACUCUAAAAUAAAUAUUGCAGCCAAAGGGGCUCUAAGGGCAAAUAUCGGAAGGAAUCUAAGGUGUCCCACUUUUGUGCUGACAAGUUAGCAAAUGAUGUGUCCAGGAUGCUUGUGUCUGUUCAGAGAGCACUCCCACAACUCCAAUAUUGCUGUUUUCGACCACAAAUAGAGGCAGAAACUUACCUUAACCUGCACAGGUACACUUUUCAAAUUAAUGUCUGCUCCUCUUCAUGUCUAACAUCACCUUGAACUUUCUUUAGCACACUGAACUUAUUCAAAGUUUAGUGUGGUGAAAUUCCUCCUAAUGUCCACUAAUGAGAGGUCGGGCUAUAAACAGGCGAGUGGAGGGCAUCCCUGAUAGAUUAUGCGCAUCUAUGCAGGCAGAUAUCAUAUAAUUGAGAGAAUUUGCAUCUUUUUAAAUAUCUUGCUCCCAUAUUGAAAUCUAUUUAACCACUUGCAGGCCAUAUAAAUAACUCUACAAACUUCUUGGAUGACAGUGCAUAAAUGUUGCUGUAAAUUUGUGAUUGUCUCAGAAUUUUCCAUGGGCAGGGAGCACACACUGGAUAUAAUAAUGAACAAUGUUCUUAAUAUUCCAAAGGUUGUAAUAGGUCACUUGUGUGUUUUCCUUAGCAGGUUUUAUUACUACUGCUGUGCAAAUCAGACAGUUGUAAUCUCAAAACGGAGGGUGAGAACACGACUAUUCUAUUCAUGGAGGCUUUCUCUCACACCUGUACUCACUUUGGCCAAAGACCUUGGGAAAAGUUUGGGCCCCAAAACGACAAAUAUUGUUGAUACAAUCGCAACCACAACAGAAAAAAGCUACAUGUAGAAAUCCACAUCAGUAUUUCUAAAAAGAAAACAAGAGAAAAAACCAACUUCAGAUACCCAAUGACAUUUAUUUUUUAUAUAGUAUCAAAUGUAUCUUUCAAAAAAAUAUAAAUAGUGCAUCUGAUUAAUUCCCCACCAUGGAUAGAGGGACAAACCCUCCAGUUGUCAUCGUUGGGGCUGGGUGAAGUCUGGGCACCGGUGGUGAACUGGAUAAUCAAGGCACACAUAGGAUUACUCCCAAUCGCCACACUCAGAGAGCUCUGACACAUGUAAAACCUAUAACAUUUGUUAAUCAACAGGAGAUCAUUAUCUUAUGAGUCACUCAUCAGGUGCCUUGAGCAAAUCAGUUACUGGAUGUGCCAGUUUCCUCCAGCCUGUAUGUAAAAUAUAAAAUAUAAUUUUAGUAUUAUGAUCACAAAGCACUAAUGGAAAGAAAUCUAAGUCUGCACUACAUCUAUUCUCUUACCAUCUUAUCUUCAAUUUAUUCUACAUUAGUCCUUUAUGAAUUAUCUUUUAAUGAAUGUCCUUUUAAUGAUUUAAAAUAUGAUUCCUGCAUAUGUAAAGCACUAUAAAUAGCUUUGUUUUUGAAUGGUUUUUGU